GCGGCGUGCCUAAUACAUGCAAGUCGAACGAUGAAGCUCUAGCUUGCUAGAGUGGAUUAGUGGCGCACGGGUGAGUAAUGCAUAGAUAACAUGCCCUUUAGUCUAGGAUAGCCAUUGGAAACGAUGAUUAAUACUGGAUACUCCUUACGAGGGAAAGUUUUUCGCUAAAGGAUUGGUCUAUGUCCUAUCAGCUUGUUGGUGAGGUAAUGGCUCACCAAGGCUAUGACGGAUAUCCGGCCUGAGAGGGUGAACGGACACACUGGAACUGAGACACGGUCCAGACUCCUACGGGAGGCAGCAGUAGGGAAUAUUGCUCAAUGGGGGAAACCCUGAAGCAGCAACGCCGCGUGGAGGAUGAAGGUUUUCGGAUUGUAAACUCCUUUUGUUAGAGAAGAUAAUGACGGUAUCUAACGAAUAAGCACCGGCUAACUCCGUGCCAGCAGCCGCGGUAAUACGGAGGGUGCAAGCGUUACUCGGAAUCACUGGGCGUAAAGAGCGCGUAGGCGGGAUAGCAAGUCAGAUGUGAAAUCCUAUGGCUUAACCAUAGAACUGCAUUUGAAACUGUUAUUCUAGAGUAUGGGGGAGGUAGGUGGAAAUUCUUGGUGUAGGGGUA
rnacentral:rRNA from 1 species